rnacentral:rRNA from 1 species
UACAUGGGGUGCAAACGUUGCUCGGAAUUACUGGGCGUAAAGCGUGCGCAGGCGGUCUUGCAAGACAGGUGUGAAAUCCCCGGGCUUAACCUGGGAACUGCACUUGUGACUGCAAGGCUGGAGUGCGGCAGAGGGGGAUGGAAUUCUCGGUGUAGAGGUGAAAUUCGUAGAUAUCGAGAGGAACACCGGUGGCGAAGGCGGCCUUCUGGACAGUGACUGACGCUGAGACGCGAAAGCGUGGGGAGCAAACAGG